CUGGCGGAAUGCUUUACACAUGCAAGUCGAGCGGCAGCGCGGGGCAACCUGGCGGCGAGCGGCGAACGGGUGAGUAAUACAUCGGAACAUGUCCAGUCGUGGGGGAUAACCUGGCGAAAGCCAGGCUAAUACCGCAUGCGCUCGAGAGAGGAAAGCGGGGGACUCGCAAGGGCCUCGCGCGAUUGGGUUGGCCGAUGUCCGAUUAGCUAGUUGGCGGGGUAAGAGCCCACCAAGGCGAUGAUCGGUAGCUGGUCUGAGAGGAUGAUCAGCCACACUGGGACUGAGACACGGCCCAGACUCCUACGGGAGGCAGCAGUGGGGAAUUUUGGACAAUGGGGGCAACCCUGAUCCAGCCAUUCCGCGUGAGUGAAGAAGGCCUUCGGGUUGUAAAGCUCUUUUGUCCGGAGCGAAACGGUGGCGGUGAAUAGUCGCCACUACUGACGGUACCGGAAGAAUAAGCACCGGCUAACUACGUGCCAGUAGCCGCGGUAAUACGUAGGGUGCGAGCGUUAAUCGGAAUUACUGGGCGUAAAGCGUGCGCAGGCGGUUUCGUAAGCUUGAUGUGAAAUCCCCGGGCUUAACCUGGGAAUGGCAUUGAGGACUGCGAGGCUGGAGUGUGGCAGAGGAGACUGGAAUUCCUGGUGUAGCAGUGAAAUGCGUAGAUAUCAGGAGGAAUACCGAUGGCGAAGGCAGGUCUCUGGGCUGACACUGUCGCUCAUGCACGAAAGCG
rnacentral:rRNA from 1 species